rnacentral:lncRNA from 1 species
AAAUAAAAUUAUAACAGUCCCUUAAAUAUUUAAAGUCCAAUUACAUAGCCUAAGCCCAAUUACAUGACCCUAUAACUAAUACCCUAGCCCAGUUACGAAACAGCCCAAAGCUCCAAGACCCAAACGGCCCAGAAACUAAGCCCAGAAAAUUACAACUUCAGAACCCUAGGGUUCUUUCCCAUGCGCCGCAACCAGGCAACACCUCCAGGCGUCGUACAACCCCCAGCCUCGCUCUGUACGACCACCAGCUCCACGUCAACAGCCCUCGUACGCCAGCACAGUCUCCGUACAACGCCAGUGCGCACCCGUACCUGCACACCAAACACAAAGAGACAACAGACGCAAGAAAAUAAAAAAAAUUAAAAAAAUUUGUAUAUUUUUAUUUCUUCUUCUAUCGGCUAUAAAGCCAGAUUUUUUUCGAUUGUAAAUCCCUUCGGAUACGAACACACAUUUAUGCAACAAAAACACAAACGCAUGAUUACGAACGCACAUAUUCAGCCACAAUACUCACAUGUUGAAUACAAAGAAAUAGCAAAAAAGGUGAUUUUUAGAUUAAGAAGUUCCAGAUUUCUUCUUCUUUUUGGCUCUUUCUUUCCGAAUCCUUUUUCUUCUUUUUUUUAUCCUUUUUUAGCAUUUGAAUGUAUAAAAAAAAGGAGAAACAAAGUUUUACCAUGUAAAUGCGCCACGAAACUUCUCCUUCUUCGUCGAAAUCGAAAUAUAGGAGGGGCCUGAAGGCUGAAAAAUAACCCCGAGGCCUGGAUGGGCUUGGUCUCCAUUCACGGUGGCUGAUCGGCUCUUGGGGAAGUGUUAAGGGUCGGCUAUGGAUGGAAAAGGGAAGGGCCAGGGCUACUC